rnacentral:rRNA from 1 species
GACGAACGCUGGCGGCGUGCUUAACACAUGCAAGUCGAGCGGUAAGGCCCUUUCGGGGGUACACGAGCGGCGAACGGGUGAGUAACACGUGGGUGACCUGCCCUCAGCUCUGGGAUAAGCCUGGGAAACCGGGUCUAAUACCGGAUAUGACUCCAUGACGCAUGUUGUGGGGUGGAAAGCCUUGUGCGGCUGAGGAUGGGCCCGCGGCCUAUCAGCUUGUUGGUGGGGUGANGGCCUACCAAGGCGACGACGGGUAGCCGGCCUGAGAGGGCGACCGGCCACACUGGGACUGAGACACGGCCCAGACUCCUACGGGAGGCAGCAGUGGGGAAUCUUGCGCAAUGGGCGAAAGCCUGACGCAGCGACGCCGCGUGAGGGAUGACGGCCUGGUGUAAC